rnacentral:misc_RNA from 1 species
CGGAGAAGCUGCGGCGGAGAGUGUAGAGAGCGUCGCCUUCGGAGUUAGCAAGAGCAAGGGGAAGAGCAAGAGAAGUUAGGGUUAGGGAAAGGAGAAAGAAGAAGUUUGGGGAAGUCCAGAAGCGAGUCGCCGCCAUGGCUAACCCUGAGACUGGAUCAAGCGGCGGAAAACGGUGCAAUUAUGGGGAUUGAUUGAAGAAUUUGAACGGAAAAUGGUGAAAUUUCUUGAGAAUUUGGAUCGGAG